rnacentral:lncRNA from 1 species
AACGUUACCAUCUUUAUAUAAAUCUAUUGAAAAUGAUUUUAACAUUGACGUAAAAACUUUAUAUUAUAUAAAUACUAUUUAUAAGCUGUCUCACUCAUCUUUUAACUUUUUUUUUGCAAUUUUUUUUGAUUAUUCAUUUAAACAAAUUUCGUGUGUUUCCACUCAACAUGAUGAUAUAAAAACAAAAUCGGACAUAAUAGAUAAAGCUAUUACUACUACGAAUGCUACUGACACAUACAAUUAUGAACAAUUUUUAAAAAAUGAAAAGGAAGAACAACAAAAAUGUGUGGAUUGUGGUAAUGAAGUGCCAUCAAAAAGAAAAUAUUAUGAAGUGCUGUAUGAUGAAGAAAAUAAAAGUAGUGAGCAUAAUAACAAAAACCAGAACGAAAAAGAAGAUAAUUUUUUAAACGAUAAAAUAGCAUUGAGUGAAUAUGGUUAUACUCUGAAAAUUUUAACAAUGGCAUCAUUAGUUUAUAUAAUUGUUAUAUUUGGAAUAAUGUUUUCAAAAAGUUUUUUUUAUUUUUUUUUUUUUAUGUUUAUCAUGGGUAUUAAUAAUUCAUGCAUAUUUGUAUUAAUACAAAAAAUAUACACACAUAAUAUGUAUAGUGAAAAGAGAAGUACAAUAUUUGGUAUCUUACAUUUUUUUUCAUCGAUUUCACAUAUGUUGUCAGUUUCUAUAAACACAAACUUAGGUAAUAAAACAUAUUUAGGUUUUAAUGGUUGGCGCUUUUGUUAUUUUAUUAUAACUUUUUUUCCUAUUUUUAUAUCAAUUUUUUUAUUAAAAUUGGUCAUUCAAAACAAAUCGAAACGGCAAUCAAAGGGUAAUAUAACUGGAACCGUAAGCAUAGCCAGUUUGGAUGAUAUUAUGUUUGGUAAUAGCAAUGUCAGUAACAAAAUACAUGAUGAACAAAAUGUACAGUAUAAUUAUACUCAAACAAAUAGUACUUUUUCGAUACCCAUAGUUGAUAUCACGUCAAAUAAAUAUGAAAAAACACUAUUGGCUACAUGUGACAACAUGGUAGAUGUACAAGAACAACAUGAUGUUAUCUCCAAAACGAAUGUAAUCAAGAAUGAAUGUAUAAAUAGUAUAAAUUAUAUGAAUAAGGAAAAGGAGGUGAAACAAAAAUUAAAAUGGGAUGAUAAAUAUUCUAUUAAAAUGAAUAAGUCGAACCAUAUGAGUUUAAAAAAUAAAAACAGUAGUAUUCAAGAAAAUAUACUUGUAAAAGACUCGAACCUUGUUUUAAGUGAUCAUCUUGAAAAAAUAUAUGAUUAUAAUGGUGAUUAUGAUAACAGUCCUGAAUCUUAUAAGUAUACUACAAGUUUAAGUCCACGUGACAACAUUAAUGGUUACAGUGUUAUUCGUGAUAACCUGAUUAAUGACAACCUGAUUAAUGACAACCUGAUUAAUGACAACCUUACUCAUGACAACCUUAUUCAUGACGACCUUAUUAACAACUACGCAACUAACAAUAACAUUAUAAGUGGUAGCAUCAAUGGGUAUAACACCACUAAUGAUAACAUCCUUAGUGAUGAUUUUAAUAAUAUACUCCAUAACCGACACAGCAAAAAAAAUGGAAAGAAUAUAAUCCAAAUAAAUGAAAAAGAAUAUGCUAGUUACAAUUUAAAAAACGAUAAUAGUUACUAUGUUAGAAACGUAAAAGAAGAAAAGGUGCAAAAUAAAGAGAAUCGAAAAAAUGAAAGCAUUGACGAACUAGAUAGUUUAUUAAAAAAAGAAAAUAUAAAACAUUUAAAAUAUGGUUUUGCACAUAUAUACGAGAUAAAAUAUGUGCUAAAAAAUUAUAGCUUUUGGUUAAUGAUAAUUAUGGGUAUGUUAAAUGGUAUACCUAGACAUGUAUUAAGCUUAAUGAUAUAUUUUUUUCAAUACUGUAAUAUUUCUGAUUUUAGAAGUGGUCUUAUUAUAUCUGUUAGUUGGUUAUGUGCAAGUUUAAUUUCACCUUUCAUAGGAAUUAUAAG